rnacentral:rRNA from 1 species
UACGAGGGGGGCAAGUGUUGUUCGGAAUCACUGGGCGUAAAGGGAGCGUAGGCGGAUGUUUAAGUCGGGAGUUUAAAACCGGGGCCCAACCCCGGAGCGGCUCCCGAAACUGGGCAUCUUGAAUAGGUCAGAGGCUGGUGGAAUUGGAGGUGUAGCGGUGGAAUGCGUAGAGAUCUCCAAGAACACCUAUUGCGAAGGCAGCCAGCUGGGACCAUAUUGACGCUGAGGCUCGAAGGCAUGGGGAGCAAACAGG